rnacentral:miRNA from 1 species
UCUCUCCACCCUGUGUCCCCAGU